rnacentral:rRNA from 1 species
UACGGAGGAUUCAAGCGUUAUCCGGAUUUAUUGGGUUUAAAGGGUGCGUAGGCGGUCGGAUAAGUUAGAGGUGAAAUCCCGGGGCUCAACUUCGGAAUUGCCUCUGAUACUGUUCGGCUAGAGAGUAGUUGCGGUAGGCGGAAUGUAUGGUGUAGCGGUGAAAUGCUUAGAGAUCAUACAGAACACCGAUUGCGAAGGCAGCCUACCAAGCUACUUCUGACGUUGAGGCACGAAAGCGUGGGGAGCAAACAGG